rnacentral:rRNA from 1 species
AUACGGAGGGGGCUAGCGUUGUUCGGAAUUACUGGGCGUAAAGCGCACGUAGGCGGCUUUGUAAGUCAGAGGUGAAAGCCCGGAGCUCAACUCCGGAACUGCCCUCAAAACUGAUUGUCUUGAGUUCGGGAGAGGUGAGUGGAAUUCCUAGUGUAGAGGUGAAAUUCGUAGAUAUUAGGAAGAACACCAGUGGCGAAGGCGGCUCACUGGCCCGAUACUGACGCUGAGGUGCGAAAGCGUGGGGAGCAAACAGGAUUAGAAACCCCGGUAGUCC